GAUUAGUUCAAAACGAACCAAUUACCUUGCCACACUUAUAAGGCUAUUUGCCGAUUGGUUCUAUCUAUUUAUGCCUGAAUUAGAGCAUGCAAACCUACAAUGGUGCGUAUCAGCUCCUACAACAUUAAUCAAUAAGAAAUCAUUGUACGGCAUUAGAUACUUGCACAUUACAGAGGCACCAUGUUCAGAACCCGCAAAAAAUGAUUAGCAUGCACCAGUUUUCGGUUUUCCAUUUAGCUUAUACUUGAUUGAUAAGAUCCUGAUCCUAUAACUAAUGCAAAUCGCAUAUAAUAGGAAGAUUGAAAGCCAAUGAAUGCAAUUUCAACCAACCCCACAUCCAGAAAAAAAAAAGGAUGUAACAGCUAACGAGGACGUAGAGUACUUUGGCCUCAAGCACUUCCUAUCUUUUCCAAUAAGGAGACUCAUUUGGAUGGCUGAAUAGAUUGGCAAAUCUUUCGAGUAUAUACUGAUAUUUCAGAGUUCGGACAGUUUCGAAGCCUCAUUAAAUCUGUGAAUAUAUAUGGUAGACUACCUAUUCCAAAUCAGCUGCCCCGAAGUAACAGGAUUAAAACCGGUGUAUAUCUGCAACUGAUAGCUUCCUUGCUUAGUUGCAUGUGCCCUGAGGUGCUCAGACCUGGUAAAUAUGGAAGUGUGGAAGAUCAGCAUAUGAGCGCCUCAAGUACUCCUAGGUAACCAGCACUAAACUCGGUACCAAGUUACUGGAUCAAUGAUGCAAUGCACAUACAAUGAAUUUAUGGACAACACCUGCAUUUGAUCAAUGAUGUCGCCAACCAUGAAAUGAAAAGACACUGGCUCGCUCCCUCCCUGCAUGCCCAAUGCAGUGCUAAUUAUGAAAUGAAGAACAAUGGCUCCCCGCGCGCCCAAAUCAUCACCAGUGGACGAAAUCAGCACCACGCAAUCUCACCCCUGAUUCGGCCACGUCGCCUCCUUUUGAUCACCGUCGGAUUUUGAUCGGAUGUUAAAAAACGGGCACCGCAUCUGACGUCUCCAGAGAGUUCUCGAGCCUCCCCGUUCCCGCGCUGCCUGCCUCCAUCUCCUCCGGUGCUCCGUCAUCCCCGCCGCCCGUAAGUCGCUGCGUCGUCCUCCACCUCCCGUAGCACCAACUGGUCUCCGCCCUCAGCAAGCCUCGCCACCCGCACCUUACUCCUGCCAUGCCACCCACACGGCCGCACCUCCCUCAACCGUCCUCCCUUGGCGCCCCGCGCGAACGGCUCGUGUGCCAGGGCCGAGUACAUGGAGGAUCGAGCAACUCCUGGGGGCAGCUCCCAAGUCGACAAAGUAGCUGGUUGAGAAAAUGUCAAGCUCCAGAGGCCAGAGCCGGGCAGCAGCUGGAACAAGAUGGCGACGAUCCAACCACGGAACGCGUGGGGGAGCAGGAGUGGAUGAUAGGCGCGCAGGCACCACUUCCACGCCUACCCAGAUCUCCUGUUCCGACCGUCCGCCUAGAUUUUGCAAUGUUGAGGUUCCGUCCAUCUCCUGCAGAAGGCGCCGCCGCCCAGAUGUCUGACGAUGCUUCUGCAGAUGCUGUCGUAUACGAUGGCAGGUGCCGUCGGGAUCGGACGCGCAGGCGCUGGUGCUGAAGCUCAUUAGCUCAAACACGAUUAUUACCGGUGAUGCAACCCGUACAGGUUUCAGAAACAGUCUGCAUGAGCUCAGAGCCUACCAAGCAAAUCCUGUACAACAAUUGAGGAGGCCUUCCUACUGAUGAACAUGGCUUUUUAUUUGUUCAGCAGGUUCAUGCUAUACAGGUAUGCACUGAUCAUUUCAUUGCAUUUGUUCAGAAGGAGAACUACGACACACACAAAAAAGAGAGAUUGGCCCAAUAUUUAAGUACAUGACUCUGCCCAAACCUAUAUGAAUUAAUAAAUUGUAAUAUUGGAAUGCGCUCUCCUUGCACUCACUAAACGUUAGGCUAAAAAUAUAGAAAGGAAGCAUAUGUAUCUGAGUAUAUUUUUCCUCAUGCAAAGACUGGAAUUUAACAUCUACUGUUAAAUUGAAAUCUUUGUGUUCACCAAUUAGCGGACCAAAUUGGCACUUUUAGCUAUUUUUUUUCUCAUCCUCCUUGCUGUGAUUGGAAUUGAAAAGCAAAGCACCACUUGCUUGACAGAUAAUAGAUUAUACUCAUAAACCAAUCAUUACAAAUACUUCGAUUAUAUGCACUGUUAUUGACACAAUUGUUUCAGCAAUAGAAACAGCUAUACCAACCUAAAUUGAUUUCUAAAGCUAACAAGGAGUUUCAGAAGCAUGAGGGCAUGGAUCUGCAACAACCAAUCCAUGUAGGUGACGACCAACUCCUCUGCGGACAACAACUAUGAGCUGCCUAAUGGACAGCUGAUCACCAUCGGGGCAGAGAGAUUCAGAUACACUGAGAUUCUCUUCCAGUCUUAUUUCAUCGGUAUGUAAUCACCUCGAAUCCAUGAGACCACCUACAACUCUAUCAUGAUGCUUAUGACAGAAGGAUCCCCAUGGGUGAGUAUGGUGAAUCAGGCCUAGCGAUUUUUCACCGAAACUAUCGUCAGCAUCGGACAGGUAGGAGAAGAAGAGAGAAGCUAACUAGCUAUGCACAAGAGCCUCUCUCUACAAUCAGUCAAUCAUGCAGGUAAUUUUCAACAGGAUGCUUGUUCUUGAAAAGAGAUGAUAGAUGACAAAGUGCUACGAACUGGACUUCAGAAAGAACUCAUAGGAUGGACCAGGUGCACACAUCAGUAACUAACUUCCAUGAUGUAUCAGAAGAUUCGAAGAACUACAAGCUGGCUAACUGGAUCAAGGAGAUGUGCAUCUCUGGCUGGCCCCCUCCAUGGAUGGCACGGCAAAGCCGAAAUGCUAGCAUCCGAGCGUCGGACGCGCUGCUCCGGUGGACCCACAAGGACCGCCGCCCGUCUCCUCCUUUUCUCUCCGGGACUUCGCUGUCUUCACCGCACGAGACAUUUCCUCUCUGCUAGCCGGCUCUCUCUCUCUCUCGGAAAAAAUCCCCUCGAUUCUCCAUUAUCAAAGCUCAUGCAACUCCAAAUCCCAGAUCUGAGCUGCUCGCAUCCUCAUCGUUUGGCCGCGACGCGCCGUAGGAACUCACUCAUGGCAGUUUGGGCAACGGAGGAGAAGAAGUUGGGGGAAGGAGGGUGGGGGAAGGGCUGCUGCCAGUGAUGGACUCCUCUGCGUCGGAGGAGGCAGGCGCAACAGGGUCGCUCGCGUGGCUCCGAGCCUCCGAUGGUUGAUUUCAUCGUCGCUGCUUCCAAUUCAGGAUAGGGAGGCGAGGAUGGCUGUAGACAUCGCCGCCCAAGGUAGGUCGAUGCAGAGCUGCGAGCCACGGCGGCCAAAAUCAGGCUACGAGAUCUUCCCCAUUCUCUCUUUGUCGCUCUCUCGCUCUUUUUGUUCAUUUCUUGUGAUGUUGCGGCGGGUGAUUUCUCAUGUCGCAGUACUUGAUUUUUGAUGCUACGUGAUGGUUUUGGGGCAAAUGUUGGAACCUGCACUGGGUGGAUUUGGUAUGCGGCUAUGCGCAUAUGUGAAUUUGAGAUGUUGCAAAAGGCUAUUUGGGAUGUUGUAAAAGAUUAUUUAUGUUGUUGCAACGGGUGAUUUGGUCAGGAUUAUUCUUAUUCUAUGUCAGGAUUAUUCUUAUUCAAUGUUGCAAUUUGUGAA